CUUUCCACUCACUCCUUGUCAGCUGCACCUGGUCUCUCCCUCCCCCUCUUUCCUUACCCUGCUUUCCACUCUGUUCACCUUCCUGGCUCUCUCUCUCCUCUGGCCCUGGCAUCUCUCAAGCCUUUCUCCUUGCAUCCGUGUCUCCUUCCUGCCUCCCUUCCCCUCUAGCUCUUUCCCCCUCUCACCCCAGCCCCUUUCUGACCUGUGCCCAGGGGACGGACACAUAGACACUGCCUGCGCGUGGGCCUCCUCCCUUCUCCCUCCCGUCAGAGCUGCCAGCUCCACUCACCAGCUUCCCGUCCAGCCUGCCUUCCGGGGACCAGGACCGGCUCCUCGAGGGAGGCACAGACCUGAGCCCCUCGGCUCUGGACGCUGCUGCCGCUGGUGUGCCCUCCCCUGACCUCCUGCGGCAGGAACAACACAAAACGGUGCUUCCCCAGAGGCAAGCAGCGGAGGACGAGGAGAUGGGAGAACACGGAGGCGAGAGGGAGCAGGCGAUGGCGACGCCGACGAUAAGGAAACUGAGGCAGCUUAGGGCGGUUAAGUGACUUGCCCGAGAUUGCUGGGUUUCCUCUCCAUUCCAGCUUUUCUGCCUUUCUGAAGAGCCAGCUCACUGCCCUGGAUACCCAAGGGUAGCCAUGGGCCCUGCCCAAGAUGCCGCUAUCCCUGAGACAGGGUGGCCAGGAAGAGAGCCCCGAGGAGAAGGACCUGGUAGGAGCAGGGGGAAGCCCUGAGGAGCUGGGUGAAGAUUUCCUGGCACAAGUCCUGGGGAAGGGCCCCAGACAGCAGUUCCUCAAUUCCCAGGGUAUAGAGGGUGGAGUCUCUGAAAGGCCACGGGGUGGAGACCCUGGCAUGAUUCAACAUUCACUCAACAAAAUAUUUAUUGAGCGCCUGCCAAUGCUAGACCCACAUGCUGGCCAGCAUCCCUGCCUGUGCAAGCUCUGGAUGAGCUGUGUGCCCCUGCCACCCACACCCCCACUCCCUGCCAGCCUGGCCUCAGGGCCUCUGAUCCAUGUGCACUGGAGUGGUGAUGACUGACAGGGCCACUGGGGCAUUUCCAUGUUAACAGCAGCUGCCACUGGCAAAAGAAGUGACUCGCCAAUGGUGGCAUCUCAGAUGUGGGCCCAGGAGUCUGGGGAGCUACUUUGAACAGGGCUAUCCAUUCAUUGUCCCACCAAAGGCUAUGGAGCCCACCCACCAUGUGCUGGAGUAGUCAAGGGAAAUAAGACACUCUCCUUGUCCUUGUUAACUCAAUCAACAAGCAUUUGCAGAGCACCGCCUGUAUGCCGGCGCUGUCCGAAGUGCUGAAGAUACAGCAAUGAGCAAACCAAAAGCCAUGGACAUCGGAUGAAACAGAGAAUUGUAAACAAUAAGUACAUCAUUUAGCUCUAUGGAAAACAGGAUAGAGAUUUCUCAAAGAACUAAAACUAGAACUACCAUUCAACCAGCAAUCCCACCACUGGGCAUCCACCCAAAGGAAAAGAAGUCAUUUAAUCAAAGAGACACCUGCACUCGUGUGUUCAUCGCAGCAACACUGUUCACAACAGCAAAGCCAUGAAAUCAACCUAAGUGUCCAUCAACAGAUGAUGGAUAAAGAAAAUGUGGUGAAUAUAUACACAGUGGGAUACUACGAAGCCAUAAAAAAGAACACAAAACCAUGUCUUUUGCAGCAAUGUGGAUGGAACUGGAGGCCAUUAUCUUAAGCGGAACAAGUCAAACACAGAAAGACAAAGAUUGCAUGUUCUUAUUUAUUUAUUUACUGAGAUGGAGUCUCACUGUGUCACCAGGCUGGAGUGCAGCGGUGCAAUCUUGGCUCACUGCAGCCUCCACCUCCCGAGUUCAAGCAAUUCUCCUGCCUCAGCCUCCCAAGCAAUUCUCCUGCCUCAGCCUCCCACAUAGCUGGAACUACAGGCACGUGCCACCACACCCAGCUAAUUUUUGUAUUUUUAGUAGAGGCAGGGUUUCAGCAUGUUUGUCAGGAUGGUCUCAAUCUUUUUACCUCAUGAUCUGCCAGACUUGGCCUCCCAAAAGGCUGGGAUUACAGGCAUGAGCCAGUGUGCCCAGCCUUUUUUUUUUUUUUUUUUUUUUUUUGAGGCAGAGUCUUGCUCUGUUGCCCAGGCUGGAGUGCAGUGGCGCAAUCUGGGCUCACUGCAACCUCUGCCUCCCGGGUUCAAGUGAUUCUCCUGCCUCUGCCUCCUGAGUAGCUGCAAUUACAUGUGCACACCACCAUGCCCAGCUAUUUUUUAUAUUUUUAGUAGAGACGGGGUUUCACCAUAUUGGUCAGGCUCGUCUCGAACUCCUGACCUCAGGUGAUCUACCUGCCUUAGCCUCUUAAGCAUGUUCUCAUGUAUAAGUGGGAGCAAAGCAGCCGGACGCAGUGGCUCACGCCUGUAAUCCCAGCACUUUGGGAGGCCAAGGCGGGCAGAUCACGAGGUCAGGAGGAGCUAGAGACCAUCCUGGCUAACAUGGUGAAACCCUGUCUCUACUAAAAAUACAAAAAAUUAGCCGGGUGUGGUGGCGGGCGCCUGUAGUCCCAGCUACUUUGGAGGCUGAGGCAAAAGAAUGGCGUGAACCUGGUAGGCGGAGCUUGCAGUGAGCUGAGAUCGUGCCACUGCACUCCAGCCUGGGCGACAGAGCGAGACUCCAUCUCAAAAAAAAUAAAAUAAAAUAAGUGGGAGCAAAGCAAUGUGCACCUGUGGCC
rnacentral:lncRNA from 1 species